GAUGAAGAACGCAGCGAAAUGCGAUAAGUAAUGCGAAUUGCAGAAUUCAGUGAGUCAUCGAAUCUUUGAACGCACAUUGCGCCCUGUGGUACUCCGCAGGGCAUGCCUGUUCGAGCGUCAUUUCAACCCUCAAGCCUCGCUUGGUGUUGGGCCCUGCCCGCCGCGGCCGGCCCUAAAGAUAGUGGCGGCGCCGCCUGGCCCUCAGCGUAGUACAGCUCUCGCUCCAGGGUCCGGCGGCAGCCUGCCAGAACCCCCCAACUCUGUGGUUGACCUCGGAUCAGGUAGGGAUACCCGCUGAACUUAAGCAUAUCAAUAAGCGGAGGA
rnacentral:misc_RNA from 1 species